GGUGAGGUGUCCGAGAGGCUGAAGGAGCACGCCUGGAAAGUGUGUAUACGGCAACGUAUCGAGGGUUCGAACCCCUCUCUCACCACCA
rnacentral:tRNA from 3 species